AUCAAAAAUCUGAAGAAAAAUAAAAGUCCUGGAUAUGACAACAUUACGAACCAGAUGAUCAAGAAUUUCCCUAGGAAGAUUAUACUACGUUUCACCAAGAUUAUCAAUAUCAUCAUCAAAUGGCAGCAUUUUCCUGAAUGUUGGAAGGUUGCAGUGAUCACACCAAUUCUUAAGCCUCAAAAACCUGCGAACGUUCCGGAAUCCUAUUAGUUAUCCUAUUAUCUUUCUUAGUGCAGGCAGUAGACCUAUGUACUGUUGUUUCUGUUCUUGCUAGUGGCUUUCCUGGACGGCAUUUUCUCUAUGUGAAUCAUGUACGCUCUCAUUGUUCAUUAUUAAUCAUCCUAACUUCAUUAUUAAGCCCAUAUAUAUAUAUAAAAAAUUCUUAUAAAAAAUUCUUAAAAAAAAUUUCGAAAAUAAAAAUUUGAAAAAGAAAAGAAAAAAAUGUGUAUUAGAAAUCUUGGGCAUAUUUUUAGUUUGCAUUCUGUUCGAACUAGCGUAUUUUCGAUUGGGGGGUAGGGUCCUUUGACCCAGGCACCCCGGUGGUACACCAUCACUCGUUGCGUACAUGAAUAUACGUACGUGGAAUUGAAAAUUACAAGGUUCCUGCUGAUGCUGAAAAAACGCUACAGUCAGUUUCACCUAAAUUUUUUUCAGUUGGACAUACUGCUUCUUCCUCUUACUUCUGUGUAGUUACAGAAAAUGAAACUUUAAGUGUCUCAAAAGACUUUACUUCGGCUGUUGCGUUACUGCAUGCUAUUACUACACUAUGAAUAUAAGCUAUCCAAAGGAAAUAUCUUGUACUCUUAAAUUUUUACAGCAUUCUUUUUUAAAUCAGUGGUAAAAUACCUUGUAAUGUUAUGAAUCUUCAUCAUAAGAUGUCAUUAAAGUAGAAUAUUUUGUUUU